rfam:Fibulorhizoctonia sp. CBS 109695 unplaced genomic scaffold FIBSPscaffold_77, whole genome shotgun sequence.
GGCCUUAUGGUCUAGUAGUAUGAUUCCUGCUUUGGGUUGUAUCAAUUCGAUACACAAGAUUGCAGGAGGUCACGGGUUCAAUUCCCGUUGAGGCCC